UCCGAGUUGACCCCGGCAGUUUCCGGUGCAUGUCAAGCCUUGGUAAGGUUCUUCGCGUUGCAUCGAAUUAAUCCGCAUGCUCCGCCGCUUGUGCGGGCCCCCGUCAAUUCCUUUGAGUUUUAGCCUUGCGGCCGUACUCCCCAGGCGGGGCACUUAAUGCGUUAGCUGCGGCACGGAACUCGUGGAAUGAGCCCCACACCUAGUGCCCAACGUUUACGGCAUGGACUAC
rnacentral:misc_RNA from 1 species